UACGUAGGGUGCAAGCGUUGUCCGGAAUUAUUGGGCGUAAAGAGCUCGUAGGCGGUCUGUCACGUCGGCUGUGAAAACCCGAGGCUCAACCUCGGGCCUGCAGUCGAUACGGGCAGACUAGAGCUCGGUAGGGGAGACUGGAAUUCCUGGUGUAGCGGUGAAAUGCGCAGAUAUCGGGAGGAACACCGGUGGCGAAGGCGGUUCUCUGGGCCUGUACUGACGCUGAGGAGCGAAAGCGUGGGGAGCGAACAGG
rnacentral:rRNA from 1 species